rnacentral:rRNA from 1 species
GAUGAACGCUGGCGGCGUGCCUAAUACAUGCAAGUCGAGCGAACGGACGAGAAGCUUGCUUCUCUGAUGUUAGCGGCGGACGGGUGAGUAACACGUGGAUAACCUACCUAUAAGACUGGGAUAACUUCGGGAAACCGGAGCUAAUACCGGAUGAUAUUUUGAACCGCAUGGUUCAAAAGUGAAAGACGGUCUUGCUGUCACUUAUAGAUGGAUCCGCGCUGCAUUAGCUAGUUGGUAAGGUAACGGCUUACCAAGGCAACGAUGCAUAGCCGACCUGAGAGGGUGAUCGGCCACACUGGAACUGAGACACGGUCCAGACUCCUACGGGAGGCAGCAGUAGGGAAUCUUCCGCAAUGGGCGAAAGCCUGACGGAGCAACGCCGCGUGAGUGAUGAAGGUCUUCGGAUCGUAAAACUCUGUUAUUAGGGAAGAACAUAUGUGUAAGUAACUGUGCACAUCUUGACGGUACCUAAUCAGAAAGCCACGGCUAACUACGUGCCAGCAGCCGCGGUAAUACGUAGGUGGCAAGCGUUAUCCGGAAUUAUUGGGCGUAAAGCGCGCGUAGGCGGUUUUUUAAGUCUGAUGUGAAAGCCCACGGCUCAACCGUGGAGGGUCAUUGGAAACUGGAAAACUUGAGUGCAGAAGAGGAAAGUGGAAUUCCAUGUGUAGCGGUGAAAUGCGCAGAGAUAUGGAGGAACACCAGUGGCGAAGGCGACUUUCUGGUCUGUAACUGACGCUGAUGUGCGAAAGCGUGGGGAUCAAACAGGAUUAGAUACCCUGGUAGUCCACGCCGUAAACGAUGAGUGCUAAGUGUUAGGGGGUUUCCGCCCCUUAGUGCUGCAGCUAACGCAUUAAGCACUCCGCCUGGGGAGUACGACCGCAAGGUUGAAACUCAAAGGAAUUGACGGGGACCCGCACAAGCGGUGGAGCAUGUGGUUUAAUUCGAAGCAACGCGAAGAACCUUACCAAAUCUUGACAUCCUUUGACAACUCUAGAGAUAGAGCCUUCCCCUUCGGGGGACAAAGUGACAGGUGGUGCAUGGUUGUCGUCAGCUCGUGUCGUGAGAUGUCGGGUUAAGUCCCGCAACGAGCGCAACCCUUAAGCUUAGUUGCCAUCAUUAAGUUGGGCACUCUAAGUUGACUGCCGGUGACAAACCGGAGGAAGGUGGGGAUGACGUCAAAUCAUCAUGCCCCUUAUGAUUUGGGCUACACACGUGCUACAAUGGACAAUACAAGGGGCAGCGAAACCGCGAGGUCAAGCAAAUCCCAUAAAGUUGUUCUCAGUUCGGAUUGUAGUCUGCAACUCGACUACAUGAAGCUGGAAUCGCUAGUAAUCGUAGAUCAGCAUGCUACGGUGAAUACGUUCCCGGGUCU